GGCCUUUUACUAUAUCAUUAUAAGGGUUUAGGGCCAGGAUUGUCUAGAAACUGCGUCUCUUAUCGCGUGUCCGUUUGGUUUUAUUCUUUCUGAUCUAAUUCUCUGUAACAGCUUCAGUAUUGGUUGACCUCCUUCAUUAAUCCAAUCAUUAAACUGCACUCCACGUCUCCACGUCCCCUCCCACUCAGACUCAUUUAUGCAGCCUUAUCAUCGUCGAAAGGUAACGCCUAAAAGCUUGACCUAUAUAUGUGUCUCUUGGAUGCAAUGAACAUCUUCACGGCCGGGAUGGAGCUAUGUUGGAGAUAAACUACUUUAUGCGGUUAUUACAUAUGAUGAAAGCGGAUGGUAUGUUGGCGAAAUGUGGGUGAAGCCACCAGAGGUUUGCAUUUCAAAGUCUAUUCUUUUGUUGAUCUAGACAAUACAAACAAAAGUGUAGCUCAAAAAAAAAAUGAUACAAACAAAAGUAACCCACGAGUCUACUCACUACAAAGUUACCACCAGUUUCCAUAGUUCUUGUCAUUCGUGAAACCUUGAAGUGGAAAUCUCUGUUCCAUAUACUUUCCAAGAUAUUGCUACAAUGAAGGAUGUUCUAAUAGCAUGGAUGUAUGUCCAUAUGAAAGUAGUAAGUUCGCAAAGUAUGCAUCAGAGUCGCCUACAACGUGUCCCCGUAUCUUGCUGUCUGGACCAGCAGGCUCUGAGAUAUAUCAGGAAAUGUUGGCAAUAGUGCUUGCAGAAGAUUUUGAGGCUAAGUUGAUGAAUGUUGACUCUCUUUUGUUGCCUGAGGUAAUUUUCUUUUUCCCCCAUUAAUUUCUGCAUUGUGAUAUCAUUACAAUUUUGUUUUGGUUAUUAAAAUAAUUUUCUGUCAUCUUGAGCAACUGGGUAUAUUAAGCUUAGAUGCUACAUUUUUCACACUGCCUGCUAUUACACUAUUUUCAACUGGCUCUUAGAAAAUGGUAGGUUUGUCGGUCACUCCAGGAAAUUCAUUGAUUUUGUCAGGGAUCACCAGCCCGGGAAGCUGAAUCUUCUAAACAAGGUUCUAGGCGUGAAAGGCUCUCUAUGCUUGCUAACGAGCUGCUCAGGCUGAACACGCAUAGCAGCAUAAGAAACUAAUGACGCUAAUAAAACAGGUGGAUCAACAUUGGGAUCUAUUGCUUUGCCAAAGCAAGAAAUGCAACAGCAACUUCUAAGAGUUACACGUUUAAAGCAUGAUGGUUUUUGUCAUCUGAUUGGUGGUCACUUUCUUAGCUGUGCAAAUUUUCACGAGUCACUGAACAAGCACUUCUAUCAUUUUUUUAGUGACCGAGUCAAGUUUCUAGGUCCUUCUCCUUCAUCAUCUGCUGUUUCGUCUCUUCAAGGCCCAAAAUUUAGGAGACCAAACAAUGGUUUCUAGGGAAAAGUAUUGUUUGCAUUUGAAUAUAACUGGUAUUAGAUUCAAUAGGCCUGUGCCCAAUGACAAUGAUCUUACUGGCCUCUACGAAGAGGCCCCUUGUGUCAUGUCACAACCCAUUCUUCAGUUUGAUUUAUACUAAGAAACAGAAACGCAGAACAUUCUGGAAACAUAAACAACCCAUUCUGGAAGAGAAUUCUCUGAAGAAAGCACAUGUGGGAUGAGUGUUGGAACCUAAACAACCAUGAUUUGUACUUAUCAGUUAAUGCUUUAGCAUUUUUCGGCUUCGCUUAAAUUCAUUUUCCUUUAAAAAGAACUCAGUGUCGUGGUUGUUGUUAUUCAUAUUACCAAUGUAAAUCUUUUUAAUGAAAAACAUCCGCAUGUCUUGGAUUUAUAAGUUCCGUAGUCAUGCAGCCUUCAUCA